GACGGAGGGUGCAAGCGUUGCUCGGAAUCACUGGGCGUAAAGGGUGCGUAGGCGGUCUCGCAAGUCUGGCGUGAAAGCCCAAGGCUCAGCCUUGGAAGUGCGCUCGAAACGGCGAGGCUGGAGUGCCGGAGGGGAGAGUGGAAUUCCCGGUGUAGCGGUGAAAUGCGUAGAGAUCGGGAGGAACACCGGUGGCGAAGGCGGCUUCCUGGACCGACACUGACGCUGAGGCGCGAAAGCUAGGGGAGCAAACAGG
rnacentral:rRNA from 1 species